AUACGGAGGGAGCAAGCGUUAUUCGGAAUCACUGGGCGUAAAGCGCGCGCAGGCGGCUUGAUAAGUUGGAUGUGAAAGCCUACGGCUCAACCGUAGAACUGCAUCCAAAACUGUCAGGCUAGAGUGUGGGAGAGGAAGAUGGAAUUAGUUGUGUAGGGGUAAAAUCCGUAGAGAUAACUAGGAAUACCAAAAGCGAAGGCAAUCUUCUGGAACAUUACUGACGCUGAGGCGCGAAAGCGUGGGGAGCAAACAGGAUUAGAAACCCCGGUAGUCC
rnacentral:rRNA from 1 species